UUAUGAAUAUACUCACCGUUUUGAUUUUAUAACAGUAACGACAAGCUAAACAUUCACUAUAUUAAGACCACGCGUGUGUCUCGGACCCACCUUUCCCUAGGUCUGUUUUUAUAAAUGCUGGUGAUAAAC
ensembl:snoRNA SNORA72 Small nucleolar RNA SNORA72